rnacentral:tRNA from 1 species
GCCUGCGUAGCUCAGAGGUAGAGCACUUCCUUGGUAAGGAAGAGGUCAUGGGUUCAAUUCCCAUCGCCGGCU